rnacentral:rRNA from 1 species
CCUACGGGGGGCAGCAGUGGGGAAUUUUGGACAAUGGGCGAAAGCCUGAUCCAGCAAUGCCGCGUGCAGGACGAAGGCCUUCGGGUUGUAAACUGCUUUUGUACGGAACGAAACGGUCUCUUUUAAUACAGGGGGCUAAUGACGGUACCGUAAGAAUAAGCACCGGCUAACUACGUGCCAGCAGCCGCGGUAAUACGUAGGGUGCGAGCGUUAAUCGGAAUUACUGGGCGUAAAGCGUGCGCAGGCGGUUAUAUAAGACAGAUGUGAAAUCCCCGGGCUCAACCUGGGACCUGCAUUUGUGACUGUAUAGCUAGAGUACGGUAGAGGGGGAUGGAAUUCCGCGUGUAGCAGUGAAAUGCGUAGAUAUGCGGAGGAACACCGAUGGCGAAGGCAAUCCCCUGGACCUGUACUGACGCUCAUGCACGAAAGCGUGGGGAGCAAACAGGAUUAGAUACCCGGGUAGUC